AGUUAUGAUUUCUCACACACGUUCUCUUCUUCUUCCACACGUUCUCUCAAUCGCAAAUUCUUAAAGUUAUGGUUAUAGAAUUAAUCAACAAUUUUCUCUCUCCCUCUUCUACACUUCCGCGCACGUCCUCUCACAAUAUCUCUGAAGCAACUAUGCAAAUUCUUUUUGUUACAGUUAUAAUAAGCUUCUCUCUCCAUUCCCACACGUUCUCACAAUCUCUGCAGCGAUAUUUCUCAUAAAUUGGUGCAAUUUCAACGGAUAUAGUACUGCAAUUCUCCCAAUCGAUAAAAACACGUUUUCAAGUAGAAUGAUCGGAGGAACAGAUCUGAGAUUAAUUUUUUUCUCAUCGUUCUCUAUAUCCUCUCUGCCCAGAAAAGUCUACUCUAUCUUCAUUGUUAAUGCUAGAAAGACUGAACAAUUUGAGAGUAGUUUAAUAAUUUUUGUGUUGGAUGUAGCAAAAUCUCCUCAUUCUCGCCUUCAGAAUCUUGCUACCGCAAUGGGUUGUGUCCGGACAAAAACGGUGAAGAAGUCCUCCCCGCGAUGAUUGAGGGACACUACUCGAAGAUGUUAUUGAACUUCCAGACCAACAAAAAGAAGGAGCUGAUAGCUCUAAUGUGUUUUGCUUAUCGGCAUCAGUUUCAAUGUGUUUUGCAAGUUGCAGAAGGAGCUGAUAGCUCUAAUGGUAUGUUUGAUGUUAGUUAUUACUUGAUUUGUAUGUAUGUGUGUAUGAGAGUGAAAGAGAGGUUAGCUUUUAUUGGAUCAUUCAUUACAAGUAGAUGUGUUAUCCCUAAUUUGGCAAGGUAAUUUGUAGAGGUGUUAUGUUUAGAUUGAUUUUAGAAGUUAGGGAAGAAAGCCACGUAUUAAAUUUUACCAUUUCAUUGUUUAUUGAUUAAUUA